ensembl:lncRNA
GUUAGUUUUAGGUUGUGGCAUUAACUAACCAAAAUCCAACAUCAAGACAACGUCUCAAGCCAACGUCAGAUUGACAUCAAAUACUGAUGUUUAGUCGUCAGGUAUGGCAACCAAAAUCCAAUGUCUUCAAGACGUCAUAAUGGUAACGUCCAAUCAACGUCAAAUUAUAACGUCAUUUGACUUUGAUCUUUAGUUUGUUUUUAGGUUGUGACAUUAACUAACCUAAACCCAACGUCGAGCCAACGUCUCAGGCCAACGUCACAUUGACAUCAAAUACUGAUAUUUAGUCGUCAGGUAUGGCAACCUAAAUCCAACGUU